AUUGAACGCUGGCGGCAUGCCUUACACAUGCAAGUCGAACGGCAGCACGGGUGCUUGCACCUGGUGGCGAGUGGCGAACGGGUGAGUAAUAUAUCGGAACGUGCCCUAGAGUGGGGGAUAACGUAGCGAAAGUUACGCUAAUACCGCAUACGAUCUACGGAUGAAAGUGGGGGAUCGCAAGACCUCAUGCUCAUGGAGCGGCCGAUAUCUGAUUAGCUAGUUGGUGGGGUAAAAGCCUACCAAGGCGACGAUCAGUAGCUGGUCUGAGAGGACGACCAGCCACACUGGGACUGAGACACGGCCCAGACUCCUACGGGAGGCAGCAGUGGGGAAUUUUGGACAAUGGGGGCAACCCUGAUCCAGCAAUGCCGCGUGUGUGAAGAAGGCCUUCGGGUUGUAAAGCACUUUUGUCAGGAACGAAACGGUGGAGGCUAAUACCUUCUGCUAAUGACGGUACC
rnacentral:rRNA from 4 species